UAAAAUAAUCCCACAUGCUCAUGCAUCAGCAAACGUCUCUGUAAAUACAGAGGAUAUUGAUGAGGCAUUUGAAUGUGGACAAAUAUUGGAUUGUUUUAGUAC